AAACGCGUCACCGCAUCAAGUCUGGAAAGCAUGCAGGGAUUAUCAUUCAGUGUUUGAGGACACUGAAGAUCCGAGAAGUUUGUAAAAUGCCUGAGUUCCCCCCAUGGAGUUAAAGACGAGAAAUGAACCGCCCUGACUUCUUGGGACCCAGCCAGGACGGGAAGAUGAUAACAGCAGAAGCUAUCUCUUGUCACUUGUUAAUCUGGCAAUGGGUAUGACAGCUCCAUUUACGACAUGAAAAUGACAAGGUUACACAGCAUGGCAGGUACUGGAUCUGUGGGCAUUUAGGUAAGAUUGCCUCUGGUAGCAUUUUAUUUUGUGUUUGAAAUUAUAUCCUUAUUUCUGAG
rnacentral:lncRNA from 1 species